CAUCGCAGCAAUCAGCAGUCGCACCCCACACACGUCGCAGUAACCGCCCACGUUCAGCCCUCCGCGCGCACGUCGCACAUGUCUCCUCUAGUACGCACCUGCAAUAAGCCACGAACGAUAUCAGCAAGAGAGACAAGGCAAAAACUGGAGGAGGAGAAAUCCUUACCAAAAGAGGCGCGCCGUCGACAUCUUUGCUUCUCUUCGUCCAAAUCGAAGUUGGAAGGGGGGAGUUUGGCUUGAAAACAGAGGAGAAGGUGGAGCAGUCCUUGUGGUGGCUGCUGUUGCAGAAAAGGGAAAUAAUUUUAGGGUUUUAAAAUGGGAUUUUAUAGGGUUCAAAAUGGGCCAUUUACGCAAUUGGUCCCCUUGUUUUUACAUUUUUUUAAAUCAUUUUUUAUUUCUUUUAAAUUUUGUAAUAUGUUUUAUUUCUGUUUCAAAUUGAUCCAAAUGAUGUGCAGCGUUUUGGGCAGUUUGGGUAAAUUUCCCUUUCGGUCCUCUUCCUA